GCUAGUAAUUCAUUUGAAGUCAUGUCGCUUCAGUAGGUUUAACUUUGACUUCCUCAGAUUCACACAGUUAUAUUGGCCACUGAGACACUGUUGCAAAUGAAUUACUAACAGUUUAAAAUCUCAGAUGCUACAAGUAGGAGCUGCUUGGUGUGAUGUAUAGAUUGUCUAAUACAACAGUAAACGUUUUUUUUUUUUUUAUAUA